CAGGGAAUAUUGCGCAAUGGGCGAAAGCCUGACGCAGUAACGCCGCGUGGGGGAUGAAGGCCUUCGGGUUGUAAACCCCUUUCAGCAGGGACGAAAUUGACGGUACCUGCAGAAGAAGCACCGGCCAACUACGUGCCAGCAGCCGCGGUAACACGUAGGGUGCAAGCGUUGUCCGGAUUCAUUGGGCGUAAAGGGCUAGUAGGCGGCUUAGCAAGUCGGGUGUGAAAACUUCAGGCUCAACCUGGAGCGGCCACCCGAUACUGCUAUGGCUAGAGUCCGGUAGGGGACCACGGAAUUCCUGGUGUAGCGGUGAAAUGCGCAGAUAUCAGGAGGAACACCGAUGGCGAAGGCAGUGGUCUGGGCCGGAACUGACGCUGAAUAGCGAAAGCGUGGGGAGCGAACAGGAUUAGAUACCCCUGUAGUCC
rnacentral:rRNA from 1 species